rnacentral:rRNA from 1 species
GGGGAAUAUUGCACAAUGGGGGAAACCCUGAUGCAGCGACGCCGCGUGAGCGAAGAAGUAUUUCGGUAUGUAAAGCUCUAUCAGCAGGGAAGAAAAUGACGGUACCUGACUAAGAAGCACCGGCUAAAUACGUGCCAGCAGCCGCGGUAAUACGUAGGGGGCAAGCGUUAUCCGGAUUUACUGGGUGUAAAGGGAGCGUAGGCGGGAUGGCAAGUCAGAUGUGAAACCUGAGGGCUCAACCUUCAGACUGCAUUUGAAACUGCUGUUCUUGAGUGAAGUAGAGGUAAGCGGAAUUCCUGGUGUAGCGGUGAAAUGCGUAGAUAUUAGGAGGAACACCAGUGGCGAAGGCGGCUUACUGGGCUUUUACUGACGUUGAGGCUCGAAAGCGUGGGGAGCAAACAGGAUUAGAUACCCUGGUAGUCCACGCCGUAAACGAUGUCGAUUUGGGGGUUGAGCUUUGAGCUUGGCGCCCGUAGCUAACGUGAUAAAUCGACCGCCUGGGGAGUACGGCCGCAAGGUUAAAACUCAAAUGAAUUGACGGGGGCCCGCACAAGCGGUGGAGCAUGUGGUUUAAUUCGAUGCAACGCGAAGAACCUUACCUACUCUUGACAUCCAGAGAACUUUCCAGAGAUGGAUUGGUGCCUUCGGGAACUCUGAGACAGGUGCUGCAUGGCUGUCGUCAGCUCGUGUUGUGAAAUGUUGGGUUAAGUCCCGCAACGAGCGCAACCCUUAUCCUUUGUUGCCAGCGAUUAGGUCGGGAACUCAAAGGAGACUGCCGGUGAUAAACCGGAGGAAGGUGGGGAUGACGUCAAGUCAUCAUGGCCCUUACGAGUAGGGCUACACACGUGCUACAAUGGCGUAUACAGAGGGAAGCGAGAGUGCGAGCUGGAGCGAAUCUCACAAAGUACGUCUAAGUCCGGAUUGGAGUCUGCAACUCGACUCCAUGAAGUCGGAAUCGCUAGUAAUCGUAGGUCAGCAUACUACGGUGAAUACGUUCCCG